GUCUACGGCCAAACCACCGUGAACGCGCCCGAUCUCGUCUGAUCUCGGAAGCUAAGCAGGGUCGGGCCUGGUUAGUACUUGGAUGGAAGAAUACCUUUAUAGAGGUGGUGAUU
rnacentral:rRNA from 1 species